CUCUGUUCCAAGGGAGGCAGCACAGUAGAGUGUAAAGAGUGCAGGAUUGGGAAGCUAGGGACUUGGGUCUAACUCCUUUCUUGAUCACCCUCUGUGUGACCUGGGAUACCACUUCUCUGGGCCUCAGUUUCUGCAUUUGUACUAUGAGGUAAUGGGACAAGGUAACCAUUAAAGUCUCUUCUAGCUCUUAAUCUGCAAUCCCAUAGUCCUUUCUGAAGGUAAUAUUCUUUGUUUUAAGGGCCCUUCCAGGUCUGACAUGCUACCACUUUUAGUGACUCGACCAGUAUCUCCUUCCAGUACUUAUAAAUGAAGAACCAUGGGACAGAAAUGGCAAACUAAUGGUUAAUCCUAUUAGCCAGUUUAGCUGUUCUGCUGUUGCAAGUGGUUCAUGGAGCCUCCAAAUACCAGGUCUUAAUGAAUGCCAAAAGAAAGGACAGCUUCUCUGAAGAGAACCCUAAUAAACAAUUGAAUUUGGGCCCAAAGGCUGUUGAACAAUCAGAAAAAGACAACCUUCUCACUGAGCCCAGACGGGAGCUUUUCACAGACUGGGAGGAAAACCAAGACACAGAUAUCUUGAGACGUUUUCGAAAUCUGAUGCAAUUACCUGAGGAAGACAGAGAUGUCCUUUACCACUCAAGAUCCACAGAGGAUAUCAUUGGAGAACCCAAAAUGUUGAGGAAGCCUUCUUAUGAAGUGCUACAGGGGCCAGAAGAGGACCGGGACCAUAUCUACCAUGCUGAAGAUUAACAGAUCAAAUAAUUUUUACCAACAGACCAAAGACUCAGCCAAAAAACACACCAUGCCAUUUUAUUCUCCAUGUUUUCUUUUUUUCUCUCCUAGUGGUAUUUACUAUGGCUGCUCUUUCCACACCAAUGAUAAGAAUGAUCAUAGGACCUAAUCCCCUCUCCUUUUAAAACAUCCAUGUUUGCUCUUUUUCAGACUUUAUUAAACAUCUUUUGAUUAUUAAGGCUAAUGUAAGAAUGGCCAUCCAAAUCACAACAUAUUGUGUUAAUAAUUCCAAAGAAAGUCCCAUACAAAAUUCAUGUAUCUUUGCUUUUAGAAUAUAGGAGAGACAGACAGACAGACACAGAGAGAGUCAUACUGAGGUUGUGAUCUGUCUACAUUGGUUUAAAAAGUUUAAAAAGAGGUUAGUCCUCUCCUGGCUUGGCUAUUUCAUCCCUCAAAGCCUAAUGCAGGGUAAAGAUCAUGUAUUUUAGUGCUCCCAGACCCCUCCUAUGAUUCCAUGAUAUAUUUACUCAUGAAAAUAAACAUAUACAAAGAAGCCA
rnacentral:lncRNA from 1 species